UACACUCCUACGGGAGGCAGCAGUGGGGAAUUUUGGACAAUGGGCGAAAGCCUGAUCCAGUCAUGCCGCGUGCAGGAUGAAGGCCUUCGGGUUGUAAACUGCUUUUGUACGGAACGAAACGGCCUUUUCUAAUAAAGAGGGCUAAUGACGGUACCGUAAGAAUAAGCACCGGCUAACUACGUGCCAGCAGCCGCGGUAAUACGUAGGGUGCAAGCGUUAAUCGGAAUUACUGGGCGUAAAGCGUGCGCAGGCGGUUAUGUAAGACAGUUGUGAAAUCCCCGGGCUCAACCUGGGAACUGCAUCUGUGACUGCAUAGCUAGAGUACGGUAGAGGGGGAUGGAAUUCCGCGUGUAGCAGUGAAAUGCGUAGAUAUGCGGAGGAACACCGAUGGCGAAGGCAAUCCCCUGGACCUGUACUGACGCUCAUGCACGAAAGCGUGGGGAGCAAACAGGAUUAGAUACCCCAGUAGUCCC
rnacentral:rRNA from 1 species